rnacentral:rRNA from 1 species
UACGUAGGUGGCAAGCGUUGUCCGGAUUUACUGGGCGUAAAGAGCGCGCAGGCGGCUGGUCAAGUCCGAUGUGAAAUCUCCCGGCUCAACUGGGAAACUGCAUCGGAAACUGAUCGGCUUGAAGGUGGGAGAGGGUAGUGGAAUUCCCGGUGUAGUGGUGAAAUGCGUAGAUAUCGGGAGGAACACCAGUGGCGAAGGCGGCAUCCUGGACCGAUAUUGACGCUGAUGCGCGAAAGCCAGGGGAGCAAACGGG